rnacentral:rRNA from 1 species
UUAAUUGAAGAGUUUGAUCAUGGCUCAGAUUGAACGCUGGCGGCAGGCCUAACACAUGCAAGUCGAGCGGCAGCACAAGGGAGUUUACUCCUGAGGUGGCGAGCGGCGGACGGGUGAGUAAUGCCUAGGGAUCUGCCCAGUCG